rnacentral:rRNA from 1 species
UACGAAGGGGGCGAGCGUUGUUCGGAAUUACUGGGCGUAAAGGGCGCGUAGGCGGCCGAUCAAGUCAGAUGUGAAAGUCCUGGGCUUAACCUGGGGACUGCAUUUGAUACUGAUUGGCUUGAAUGCAGGAGAGGAUAGCGGAAUUCCCAGUGUAGAGGUGAAAUUCGUAGAUAUUAGGAAGAACACCAGUGGCGAAGGCGGCUUACUGGCUCGUAACUGACGCUGAGGCGCGAAAGCGUGGGGAGCAAACAGG